ACCGGCGCUGAAGCUCUCAGUCCCGGCUUUUAGCGCUGUGGUCGGUGGGCAGCAACUGUCUUCCUCCGCUUCCCCGAGCCUUUUCCGUGGUGGUGCUGCUCUCGUCGCUGCCUGCUCUUCCGGAUCAUGGUGUGCUUCCGCCUCUCUCCGGUGCCGGGCUCCGGGCUCGUUGUGCUCUGCCUCAUUCUGGGAGCUAUCUCAUCUUAUGCAUUAGAACUUAAUUUGAAGAAUUCAAAAAAUGCCACUUGCCUUUAUGCAAAAUGGCGGAUGAAUUUCACUAUAGACUAUGAGACUACAAGCAAAAGUAAUAAAACUGUAACCAUUUCAGACCUUGGCAAUGCAACAUACAAUGGAAGUAUCUGUGGUGAUGACCAGAAUGGUCCCAAAAUUGAGGUUCAAUUUGGAUCUGUUUUUUCCUGGACUGUGAAUUUUACAAAGGAGAAGUCUACUUAUUUAAUUGAAAGUAUCUCAUUUUCCUAUGACACUAAUGAUAGCACAACAUUUCCUGAUGCUAAAAAGAAAGGAAUUUUUACUGUUCAUGAACCUGUGGCAUUCAGAAUUCCAUUGAAUGACAUCUUUAGAUGCAAUAGUAUGUUGACUGCAGAAAAGAAAGAUGUUAUCCAGCACUAUUGGGAUGUUCAUGUACAAGCUUUUGUCCAAAAUGGCACAGUGAGCACAAAAGAGUUUCUGUGUGAUAAAGAUAAAACUUCAACCACUGUUGUGCCUGUUACUCCCACCACUUUACCAUCUCCUACUACAACACCUGCUCAAAAGGAAAAACCAGAGAUUGGAUCCUAUUCAGUUAAUAAUACCAAUGGUACUUGUCUUCUGGCUACCAUGGGGCUGCAGUUGAACAUGACUCAAGAUAAGGUUGUUACAGUUAUUAACAUCAAACCCAAUACAACUGACUUCACUGGCAGCUGCCAUUCUCAAACUGCUCUACUUAGGCUGAACAGCAGCAACAUUAAGUAUCUUGACUUUGUCUUUGCUGUGAAAAAUGAAAACCGAUUCUAUCUGAAGGAAGUGAAUGUCAGCAUGUAUUUGGUUAAUGGCUCUGUUUUCAGCAUUGCAAAUAACAAUCUCAGCUACUGGGAUGCCCCCCUGGGAAGUUCUUAUAUGUGCAACAAAGAGCAGACGGUUUCAGUGUCUGGAGCAUUUCAGAUAAAUACCUUUUAUCUAAGGGUUCAGCCUUUCAAUGUGAUAGAAGGAAAGUAUUCUACAGCCCAGGAGUGUUCGCUGGAUGAUGACACCAUUCUAAUACCAAUUAUAGUUGGUGCUGGUCUUUCAGGCUUGAUUAUCGUUAUAGUGAUUGCUUACCUAAUUGGCAGAAGAAAAAGUUAUGCUGGAUAUCAGACUCUGUAACACUAAUGCAUAUGUGAUCUCUGUUCCAAAGUAAUAAAGCAAGUACAAGUUCCAACAUGCAAUACUAUUCAAUUUAAGAUAUAUUUACUUUUAGUUCUGAUCUUAGAACCAGUGGUAUGGGGGAUUUUGUACUUAAAUAAAUACAAACACCCCAAAACUAUUAACUACAAAUUGGUCAUGUGAAUUUGGUUUUCCUAACCAAGGCAUUUAAAUCUGUUGUUUCUUCAGCCAAAGGCAUGUGCAAAAUCACCUGGAUUAUAGGUUCUAUUUUAUUUGCUUGAAUUAGUGUUUCAGUGUUUCUACUGUAGUCAUUCUGACUAGAAAUAUACAGUUUAGGAAAAACAGGUUUUUAAAAGAGAUUUGUUUUCUUGCAUGUGGUUGAAUUGAGACAGUACAUUCUACAGUGGAUUUGUACUUGCUCCCUUUGCAUUUUUUUCUGUGAUUUUGCAGGUUAACUUAGCUGCUUUGACAUUGCUAUAUAUUUGACCUAAUAGAGAUAUGGCAAUAGAUGUGAACAGUCUAAUAUUAUGUUCUUAGCAAUGACUGCUUUCCUAAUGCUUUUUGAAUACAUUUGUAUUUAAUGUGGCUGUAAUGACAAAAGAUGCAAAGCUUUUGAAAUUUUAGAAUAGGUGUUAAGCUUAUUGUUUAAUCCCUUCUAAAAAAAAAACCUGGAUAUUUCAAUCUUUUAAAUUGCAAGAUACAAGACUAUUCCAGCUGAGCAUUUCAAUUUUCUAGGUGCUUUAGAGAUAAUUGCUAGGCAGUGCCAAUUUCAGGCCUUAGUCAUUUUACCUGUAAAUUGGUCUCUACCUGCAGAGCUAAAGUUAAUGUACACUUCCAGUGUCCUUGGUGGUAGUAGUAUCUUUUAUUCCUUUUUUAUCUUUUCUUUUCCUUAAAGAAGAAAUGCCAGUAUUUCCUAGAACCUAGAAAAGAAGGGCACUUAUACCUAUAAAGUAACUUGCACAUAACCCAAAAGUUUCGGUCUUCUCCAUUAAAAUGUUUGGGGUUUUUUGUUUUGUUUUUAAGAGUUGUUCUUUGUUUCCAGCUUAAAGUGAUUGCUACAACAUUUACCAAUUUGGCUUUCCUAUUUAAAUGGUUAUAUGCUAAUCAAAACUUACAUUAUUGUUGUUCAUUAUGGUAGAAUCAUUAUUAAUUCAUGUAUUUUGUGUUCGGUUUUUGUCCUCUGGGGAGAUGCACCAGUUGUCCAUCUACCGUGAACCAUCUAAUGUUGAUAUGAGAAAGCAAAACAUUUCAGCUUCAUAGUUAACAUAUCAAGUAUUUCUUACUGUUUCUAGGUGUUUUUUAUUGGAACGGCUGAGCAAAUAUUUAGAAAUUGUUAAUAUGCAGCCAUAUACCAAAGGUGCCUGAGUUUUGUUUUUUUUUUGGGGGGGGGGUGUUAGGAGAUUGUAUACCCCCAUUCACUACAAAAUGAGAUAUCUGGGUUCCAAAGUAUUAUUGAUGUUGAAUUAAUUUGGUAGUCUAACUAAAAACACACACACAAGCAAUUGCCUGUAAGCAUAUAUAUAUAUGUCUAUAACUAUCUUUCGAGUUAUAUUGGAGUGCUGAAUAUUUUUUCCCACUUAAAUUUGUUCUCUGUUUAGAGUAGCCUGAAAUUCUUACUGGCUCAGAAUCAGAUUCCUGAUCAACCCCUCUCUUAAAGCUACAAUGAGCUGCAUUGCCAGCUUAAGGCACUUAUAAAAGACAAAAGACAAAAAUAUAAAUCUGAUUUUUAAAGAUUAUUUUUUAUUUAAAUAGUAUGUUAGUGUAAGAUUAUUGAACUUAAAACAAUGGAUAAUGCUUAUAAGAACGUAGGUCUUAGAUAUUUCUCACAAGUCAAAACAAAGCAGCUUUAAAAAAAGAGAGAGAUUAAAGCAUAAGUGGUGGCACUGGCUUAAUGCUGUUAAUGUUUCUAAAAGUUUCUACAUUAAAUUAUAUAUCUGAUUCAUAUGAAAAUAUCUCUAACACUGUUUUCUAGAAAAUCUGACUUCAUUGAAUAUUUUUGUAUCUUACGUGGGCCAGUUUAUAUACAGUUGGUUAUUUCCUACAGCCACAUGCUCUUUGUACCUUUUGUAGUUUCAUUUGCUUUACUGGGUUUACACCUUGAUGGUCUAACACUCUAUGGUUCUGAGUGUUUUUCAUGUGUUAGCAUUUAUAUAAAGAAACUGGUCCAUGUAAAUACUUCUCAUGUUUUUCUUUCAAAUGUUUAAGCCACUAGUUGAUGUAUGGUAUUUCUCUAGAUAUUUGCUUGUCCAUUUGCUCCACAUAUUGCUUCUAAAACAAACAAUAAAGGUUAUUUUAUUUCUUAAGGAAA